AUGGUUGCAAACACAGACAUUCUCACGGGACAGGCAGGACAUAAAACAUGUAAAUGUUUCUUAUUAAAACAAGAAAACUCAAAACACAAUCAACCCUAUCAGAAAAGAGAGAGAGAGAGAGAGAGAGAGCAAGAGAGCUGGAGAGAUUUUUUUCCUUCUUCAAGUAAGAUUGCAAGACUGAAACAGGUUUGUAAAAUCCCAGUGUUGGAAAACAAAGUAAAUUAUAAAAGACCCCUAAAGGGAGUGAUUUAGUUUUCUUAAAAAACAGCUUGUUUGGUAUUCCAUUCCUUAUCACUUAUCAUUUUUUUUUUAAAGUAACACAUUUGAAAAAUCAACAAUACCAACAUAACAGGGCUUUGGUUUUGGUUUUGUUUUGUUUUGUUUUUCUUGGCUGGAAGAAAAUGCCUGAGCCUUUGUGAGAAGGCAGGAAGGAAAAAAAGGAAGGAACUUCAAAGGCACCUUGACCACAUCAUUGCCCUCAGAUAAAGGAGCCCUGAGGAGUAAGUAGCUCCCUUUGUAAGUUCUACCAGCUCAAAGCCUCUGAGGGAUUCAACCUGAGGGUGAUACGUAUAAGAUAGCUGGGAAGGGAGUACCCUUUGGGACGAAACCUAACAUCAAAAGAUUUAAGGGAGCAGGGUGAUUCAGAAAGCCCCCCCUCCCACCCCCAAUACAAGAAAUGGACCUGAUGAGGGGCGCCUGGUGGCUCAGCUGGUUAAGCGUCCCUUGGCUCAGGUCAUGAUCUCAUGGCUUCGUGGGUUAGAGCCCGGCACGGGGCUCUCUGCUGUCAUAUCCGAGCCUGCUUUGAAUCCUCCGGCCCCUCUCUCUCUCUGCUCCUCCCCACCCACAUGCACUCUCUGCCUCAAAAGUAAACAUUAAAAAAAAAAAAAUGGGGCUGAUGACAGCAACAGCAACCAGCGUUUGUGCCUCCACGUGGAGGGUUACCUAAGCCCCAAAAGAAGUCUUUGGAAACCACUGGCCCCCUGGCUUACUUUGCAAUCGGGCUUUCUCGAUAUGCCAGCUUAUGCUUUCUUAUAUAUGCCGAGAUGAUUCCAAGAACACCUUUCACAGACGUUGAAACACCUAACUUGGCCGCUUUCAGGCCAAGCAGUCAAUGGCCGAAGAAUGGGAUAAGUAAGGAUGGAUGGGAUGGAGGAGAGAGAACAAAGCGAAGUGGGAGAAGAUGACGGGUCCCCUGUGAGGAGAAUGAGAGGGGAGAGUAAAUAGGUGAGGGAGCGGGGAGAUCGGGAAAGAAAACUGCAGGAACAAGGGAGGACAGAUUUCACUAGAGCCUACCCCAUGCCUGGAACUACAAAGCUCGCCGUAUGGUACACAGAAAAAUGAGACGAGAAUUUCUUUUACUGAAUGCACUAAGGGGGAUUGAAGAAACGUAUACAAAAUAUUUCCUGGGGUUGCCCCAGCAGCACGCGGACAUCCACAUGUGGCUGGGCUCUUCCCCGCCCUGAUUUACCCCCCUUGGGGCAACAGAAGCCAGAGCCACCACUGCAGCCCAGUUCUCUGCCCUUACAGAGGUUCAUCUGUUUCCAGAAAACGGUGUCCCUGAGGAGCAAGGUCAGCAGACAGGAAGUGAGGUCGGCAGACAGGAAGUGAGGUCAGCAUCAGGUCUCCAUGGCCGGAACAGGACCUCUGGCUUCGCUGGAGGGUGACUGCUGGUCCAACCCCAGCGCUGCUCACUGAGCCGGGCAGAUAGGCCCGGCCCAGAGCCACUGGAUCAACUUUCUCCCAGAAUUUUGACACCAGGAGCCCCUCCUGGUGGACGCAUGCUGGAGAGAAACAGAUCAAAGCAACAAGCAAACAAACCCCGAAAACCAAAACCCAAAACGCCCUAAUUGUUACAUAACUUUUGUUUUCUUCUUUGAAGACAUUUAUUAUAGCUCUUCAGAGUUCUUAAAUUUCCGCAAGCGAAGGAUCUGGUUUACUGGUGGAGAUCUAUGUCCCCAAAUAAAACUGGACCCUUUCUGAAAAGCCA
ensembl:lncRNA